GGGAUCUGCGGCCUCAGGGUGUGUCCCGCCUCUCCGACCCGCUGAGUCCCCGGGUCCCGGGUGUGUAGCCUCGGGAGAAGCGUGUUGUCCAGGCGGCACUGGCUGCACCCCUACUCUGUGCUAGCCAUGGGUUAAGUACACAUAGGUGAUGGGAACCCGAGGUCUUGUUCUAAGUUGGAGUGAUGUGACUUAAAUGAGAUGAUUAGACAGUAGAUGAUUUGGAAGCGGAAAACGUGUAUCACACCAGUAGCAAGACAAUUACAAUGGCCGCAAGAAGACCCAGUGACAGCUUAACCUAGAAGAAUGAAACAGGAAUGGAGAAGUAAAGUCAAAUCCUUUUCAUUCCACAUGGACAGGAUGUGGUUUAUGCCAGUUCCUCUCUCCCAGGAGACAGCCCCGCACCACACAACAUUUCGCUCAGCGGUGCGGCUGAGCACUGACAAACUCAAUCUGUGGAAGGAGCGGUCUGACAGCCCCAGGCUUGAGACUGUGUCUCUCCCAAGUACUCUGUCAUCCUGGUAACCAUGGAGACCAUGACGAUCGAUUAGAUGCCAUCUGAUCUCCACCUCAUAAAAAAAGGCAGCAGAUGGCAACCAGGCCACUAGACCUGUCUCAAGAGAGAUGAAGGGGAAGAGCAAGGGAAGGAAGGAGGAGAAAGGAGAGGAGGUGGGGGUGGGUGGGUGCAAGGAGAAGAGAGUGCACAGAAAUGUUAGAAACGGAUAGGGAAAUGUUAGAAAAGAGAACAAACAGAACCAGACAAACAAACAAAAAACAAGGAAAGCAGGAUAAGGGAAAGAGGAGACAAAAUGGAGAAAUGAAACCAAAACUCAACUGUGCCAUGGACCUCAUAGUGCGCUGUGGGAAGAAAAUCUGAAAAGGAAAAUCAGUCAGCUAUCCCCUAACUUUCUUCUACACAGGUCUCAAACAGUGGCAAAGAUGGUCACAGAACCUGAGCCACAGGGCUUCUCUGAGGACCCUUCACAACUGUGUCCUGUGGCUUUCUGUGACACCUGGAGUUUGAUGUACCCACAGGAGAAGUCUGAGACCUGGUUCUCAGAAUGAAUGCCCCUGAUUUAGGCGAGACCUUUCAGACAACUGGAUGAAGACCUACGAUAUGAUGUCUGUGGCUCCCUCUCCAGCAGUGUUUUGGUCAGACCUCAAAGAAAAAAGUGCUAAGUAGUUCUGCGGAGACCAAGAUGAGAAGAAGAGAAGGACUGUUACAUCAAUGCUGGUGGACAUGGGUGUGUUAGCCAGGCUCCCAGAGGAGUGUAACGGCUGACAUUCAUGAAGUGUGUCAGACACCGUUUAAAACAAGAGAAAAGAGAAACCACCUAUAAUCGCGUUAGUUUUACCAUAAGCAUGAUAUAUGUACAUGGGUUGUAUAAAAUGCAGCAUUUUAUGGAUAUGCACACAUGAUAUUUUAAGUAAAUACAGUACUAGAUUUUAAAUAUCAUUUGUUUAGCCUAUGCUUUUAGACAUUAUAUUAUGACCACUUUUCCAUGUUUAUUAAUUAUUCAAUCUUAUUUAAUGACAAUACAGCAUUCUACUUUUCCAUUAUGUAUUUAACUACUUCUUUAUUAUUGGACUUUCCUAGAAUUUUGCUACUAUAUAAUAAUACUAUGGUAACCAUUCUUAUAUGAGAGCCUUUCGGUGUUCCUCUUUGGCCUUAGGUAAAAACACAACUACUAAAUCAAAGAGUAUCGUUUCCUUCAAAGUUUUGAAGUUAAGUAUAACAUAUAUACAGUCAAGUGAAUAAAUCUUAAGGAGACAGCCAGUUGAUUGUAAAUAUUAUAUAAGUAUAGUUAACAUAUAUAACAUUACAUAUAUAUGAUUACAUAUUUAUUUACUUAUAACCACUACCUAGAUCAAUAUAUUAAAAUUUUUACUCCAGGAUGCUCUUUCAUACCCUUUUCUACUAUCUACACUAUGUUCUUGAGCUUAGUAUAAAUGGAAUGACAGGGUGUGUAUUCUUUUGUUUCUGACUUCUCUCACUCAACAUACUGUCUGUCAUAUUGUUCCUGCUGUGUUGUAUACCAAUAGCUCAGUCUUUUCAUUUCCAUGUCAUUUUCUGAUUUUAAUAUAGAAUAUUUAUGGAUUAAUUUUGUUUUGAUAGACAUUUGGGCUAUUAUGAACAAAGUUGCCAUGAAUAUUCUUGUACAUGUCCUCUGUCAUUCAUAAUUUUUAAAAUUGAAACUAGGAGUGGAAUUACUAAGACACAGAGUGGGCAUGCUUUUAAAUGCAGGGCAAAUAUUUUUACAGCUUUGGAGGGGGUUGGCUCUUACACUGGCCUCCAAAUUAGCACACACUAACUUGAACUCCAACUGUCUAGUCUCAUAAAUAUGCCCUCCCCAUCCCUUCUGACCAACAGCAAGUGGGCAUAUUUAUCCUUUUUAAUCUUUGCCGAAUUAAGAGAUGAAAUGGUAUCUCAUUAUUUACAUCGUGUUUGAUGACUGUGUGUGUUAAACCACUCUUACUAUGUCGUCAGACAUUUUUAUUCUUCUGUAAACUGCACACACACAUCACUGCACUACUUGCUUUUAGCUUUAGGGGAAGGCAAAGAGAGGAAACAUAACCCAAAUAAUCUGUGCAGAUUCACUGGCAUGGUAAGAAAAAAAUUACUGGCACAGAUGACCAGAACACGUUGAUGUUCUUAGCAUAAGUUGAUAUCCUGCUCUACAUAUUUCAAAAGGAAGUUUAUACACUUACAGAACAUCUAUUAUUAAGCACAUUUACUCUUUAAAACAGCCCCAGUCGUUCUGUUUUUAUAGCUUCAUUUAAUUUCAGAAAUAGCAGUUCAUUUUCAGAGAAACCUAAAAAGAUACCAUUCUGCCUAAUUUUGCAAAUUUAUAAAUGAAGGAUUUGCAUGCAGUUCAUGGUUAAAAACUAUUUAAGGAUUCUGACAGGGAUCUAAACCCAAGAUAUUUCAAGUCCAAAGUAAACUGGUUUUUCUCUUUCCUUUAAAGAAGAGUGCUAUGGUCUGAAUAUUUCUUCUCCUCAAAAUUCAUAUGUUGAAAUCCUCACCCCUGAAGCGAUAGUAUUGGGAAAGGGCCUUUUGAAAGAGAAUAGGCUGUGCCUUCAUAAGUGGGGUUAGUGCCUUUCUGAGGGCCGGGGCUUUAGCUCAGUGGUUCUGCUGCCUGCCUUGCAAGUGCAAGGUUCGGAGUUCAACCCCUGGUACCAAACAUAAACAAACAAACAAAUAAAAACUAUCUGAAAAUGUCCCUCACUCCUUCUCCACAUGAGGACCCAGAAGAGGCGCCAUCAUGAACAAGGUAGUGGCCCUCGCCAGACCUGGAUCUGCUACACUCUUGACCUGGAAUUCCCAGCUCCUCCUUUGUGGUAUUUUGUUACUGUAAUCCAAAAAGACCAAAACAGGCAAUGAUUCUCCUUUUCAUUUUUUAAACUAUCCAAACCCUGGGAGGGCUUCUGGAUCCCAGAACCCUGCUCUGAAGUCCCUUCUAUCCCAGCCAUCAUGGCUUGUUCACCACCAAAGGAGAAUCAGGAUCUCUGUGCUAUCGAGGAGAGACGGAGAAUAUGAAUAAAUCUAUUUUAGUUCACUUCAUCCGUUUUAGAAGUUUAAUUUUAUUUGUAUUUUAUUGUGUGUGGUACAUGUUUGAAAAGCUAAUAAUAGUUUAAUCAACUGAUAGGGUGAGAAGAAGUAGAGAUGGAUCCAGGAUGUUUUCCUCUUGGUAAAUUAUUGCCUUUGGCCUCUGGAUUGGUUGGCUUUCGUGUCACUGGGGCAGAAGAUCCAACACCCUCAACUGAAAGGAGGAGGGGUUGAUUUGGUUCAUGGGUUCAGUGGGUUCAAUCCAAUGCAGAGAUGGAAGGCGGAAGGACUUGGUGGAGGAACGCUGCUCAGUCCGUGGCACUCAGGAAACAGAGUGGGGAGGAGCCAAGGAGAAUGCACCCUCUCUUCUGACCAGGCUCCACCUCCAAACACAUGAGACUCUGGGGGACAUGAUAGAUCUAAAUAGUAUUUACAUUCAUGUAAUUCUAGAGGCUUUUUAAAAGAAAAAAAAAGACAGUUACUUCUACAAAAAUGAGAAAAUAAUUUGCUAUAAAUGACAUAUUUAAAAAUAUUUAUAACGCCACAAUAACCAUAAUAGUUCGAAACAAAAUGAAGUAUACUAUUUUUGUUAUUUAACUUCUCUGA
rnacentral:lncRNA from 1 species